rnacentral:lncRNA from 1 species
CAUCAGGAGGCCACCCCUGCCCACCGCCGGGAGCCUGGCCAUGGGAGGAGCUCACCAUCAGGGUCAGGGCCUACAGGCGGAGGUGGAGAAGGCUUCCCCGGCGAGCGGCGCAACUGCACACUGGAGGUUCUCCACCGCGAGAGCAAGUGCAUCCAAUGGAGCCGCGAACAGCCGCAUCCGCUCGACUGCUUCGGCGUGUGUGUUCUGAUGUGUGUGCGCCUGAUGCUUUGCUGUUGUACGCUGAUGCAUAGUGUUUUUGCGUGGGUGUGCUAGAGUCCGCUCAUGUGUGCGUGUGGUAGACUGAAGUAUAUUAUCUGUUUUUUAAGGACAUAUUAUAUUCUGGAUGACAUUUUUAAGUUGCUGAAAUUGUUUCGUUGUGUGCAAAUUAUGAGGGUAAUCUCAUGAUCUCAAGUCAAAAGGUUACCACAACCCUUAUCCUUCAUUUAUAUCCCUCAAACCAAACAAAACAUGGGAUAACACCACCCUUUCAACCAAACAGAAAAAAUGGCUAUCCCUAACCACCCUAGCAUGUCCGUGCAACCAAACAC